CGUAACGCGUAUAGAACUUACCUUUUACAGAGGGAUAGCCUUUAGAAAUGAAGAUUAAUACCUCAUAGCAUUGAGAUUUGGCAUCAAAUUUUAAUUAAAGAUUUAUCGGUAAAAGAUGGCUAUGCGUCCUAUUAGCUAGAUGGUGAGGUAAUGGCUCACCAAGGCAACGACGGGUAGCCGGCCUGAGAGGGAGAUCCCCCACACUGGUACUGAGACACGGACCAGACUCC
rnacentral:rRNA from 1 species